GAGAGUGGAAGGAAAAAGUGCGAGGAAUUAAAUUUUUUUCCUAUACUUCUUGCCGCUCAAUGGAAAGUGGCAAUGGAGAAAGAGACAAAGAGACAGAGAGAGAGAGAAAGAAAGAAAGAAAGAAAGAGAAGCAUGAUCCACACUGCUUGUCAAGGUCACACCUGUCACUGAGCCAAUCUCACACACAUUGUUGCUCGGUAACAACUUCUUGGCAGCUGCACAUCCUACAGAUGAAAUCUGAUCAUGUGUCCUAGGCAACCACUGACUCAACACUUACGAGUGUGACGUCCCCCAGGCCGG